UACGUAGGGGGCAAGCGUUGUCCGGAAUUAUUGGGCGUAAAGAGCGUGUAGGCGGUCCGGUAAGUCAGCUGUGAAAGUCAAGGGCUCAACCCUUGAAUGCCGGUUGAUACUGUCGGGCUAGAGUCCGGAAGAGGCGAGUGGAAUUCCCGGUGUAGCGGUGAAAUGCGCAGAUAUCGGGAGGAACACCGGUGGCGAAGGCGGGUCUCUGGGCCGAUACUGACGCUGAGGAGCGAAAGCGUGGGAGCGAACAGG
rnacentral:rRNA from 1 species